rnacentral:rRNA from 1 species
GAGUGAACGCUGGCGGUAGGCCUAACACAUUCAAGUCGAACGGCAGCCCAGUAAGAGCUUGCUCUUACGGGUGGCGAGUGGCGGACGGGUGAGGAAUACAUCGGAAUCUACUUUUUCGUGGGGGAUAACGUAGGGAAACUUACGCUAAUACCGCAUACGACCUACGGGUGAAAGCAGGGGAUCUUCGGACCUUGCGCGAUUGAAUGAGCCGAUGUCGGAUUAGCUAGUUGGCGGGGUAAAGGCCCACCAAGGCGACGAUCCGUAGCUGGUCUGAGAGGAUGAUCAGCCACACUGGAACUGAGACACGGUCCAGACUCCUACGGGAGGCAGCAGUGGGGAAUAUUGGACAAUGGGCGCAAGCCUGAUCCAGCCAUACCGCGUGGGUGAAGAAGGCCUUCGGGUUGUAAAGCCCUUUUGUUGGGAAAGAAAAGCAGCAGGUUAAUACCCCGCUGUUCUGACGGUACCCAAAGAAUAAGCACCGGCUAACUUCGUG